rnacentral:rRNA from 1 species
CCUACGGGUGGCAGCAGUAGGGAAUAUUGCUCAAUGGGGGAAACCCUGACCCAGCAACGCCGCGUGAAGGAAGAAGGCUUUCGGGGUGUAAACUUCUUUUGUUAGAGAAGAUAAUGACGGUAUCUAACGAAUAAGCACCGGCUAACUCCGUGACAGCAGCCGCGGUAAUACGGAGGGUGCAAGCGUUACUCGGAAUCACUGGGCGUAAAGAGCGCGGAGGCCGGAUAGCAAGUCAGAUGUUAAAUGCUAUGGCGUAACCAUAGAACUGCAUUUGAAACGGUUAUUCUAGAGUAUGGGAGAGGUAGGUGGAAUUCUUGGUGUAGGGGUAAAAUCCGUAGAGAUCAAGAGGAAUACUCAGUGCGAAGGCGACCUGCUAGAGCAUAACUGACGCUGAUGCGCGAAAGCGUGGGGAGCAAACAGGAUUAGAUACCCCUGUAGUC